ACGGGAGGCAGCAGUGGGGAAUAUUGGGCAAUGGGCGCAAGCCUGACCCAGCAACGCCGCGUGAAGGAAGAAGGCUUUCGGGUUGUAAACUUCUUUUACCAGGGACGAAGGACGUGACGGUACCUGGAGAAAAAGCCACGGCUAACUACGUGCCAGCAGCCGCGGUAAUACGUAGGUGGCAAGCGUUGUCCGGAUUUACUGGGUGUAAAGGGCGUGUAGGCGGAGAUGCAAGUCAGGAGUGAAAUCUAUGGGCUCAACCCAUAAACUGCUUUUGAAACUGUAUCCCUUGAGUAUCGGAGAGGCAGGCGGAAUUCCUAGUGUAGCGGUGAAAUGCGUAGAUAUUAGGAGGAACACCAGUGGCGAAGGCGGCCUGCUGGACGACAACUGACGCUCAUGCACGAAAGUGCGGGGAUCGAACAGGAUUAGAUACCCUGGUA
rnacentral:rRNA from 1 species